GUAAAUUGUGUUCUAGAAUAGGAUGUGACCUACGGGAUAAUUACCUGAUAAAAAAAAAAAAUUUAGCUAAUAAACAGAACAAAUGAGAAACUGUUUGUUAACCAAACCUGUAUGUCCAAGAUUUUAUGCACUACAGGUGAACUACAGGUGAAGUCACUCAAUCCAGUCCCAUAGACUUGUUGGGGGGACCAUACCAAGGACUCCUGGUGACAGCUAGCUGAAAGAGCUACCCGGAUUCAUAUCGCACUGCGGGAGGGUAAGGCACACUGACACUGUCGAACAAUAACAGAGUUCGAGAGGAGAACUGGAAUUAACAGAAUUCUGGGGGCCAUCUCUCGAAUGAAAAAUACCUUACCUGUCCUUUCCUCACUGUUGUUGUUCAUAGAAGUGAAGAUGUGUCUGGCUCUUGCUAAGUGAUGUGUUCUCGGGGAGAGGGUGGGGCUUCACAUGGAAGCUGUUCGUCUGAGCUGUCUUAUCGUGGGUGACAUAUUCCUGAUACAGCACGUCCUACUCGAGUAUGCGGAGAGUGGGAAUUUGACCCAUGGUUUAGACGAUGAGGAUUUUGUUCCAAAAUAAGCAUAAGAGAUCCCUAGAUCUGGGUAGACAGGAAGUUAGAGUAGAGGUUGGGAAGGAUCUCUCAAUGGAGUUUUAAGUAGACCAAAAUGGAGUCUCUAACUACAUGACAGUCUAGGACUCUGAGCCAUUAUGGCAUAUAUCGGUGCAGGUUCCCAUAUUGAUCGUGGACACAGGUCAUAGCUCAUUGGGAGAGAGGGCUAUAUGAAUCCACUCACCCAGUAUGGAAGAAGAGAGGGAUGAAUUGCAUAAAGAUACGCUUAACCCUUUAAAUAGAAAUGAAGGAGGAUCUAGGGUUGUGGUAUGGAUAUGACCAAGUCUUGGUCGACACCCUAGUACGGCUCUGGGUAGAGGAGUUUGGGCCGGUAUGGUAAAGCUGUUCACGAAAGCAGGAAUGCCAGAUAAUGACAGUUGUAUUGAUUUGCACUAUUUAAAUCCCCAGGUUCCUCCCUUUACAGUGACCGGAGGAGAUUAUUACCGUUUGGCCCGGUACAGUACUCUUGGGAAAUGAUGUCAGGGCGAGGUUUUACCAACAGAUUGGACAGGAUUAUGCUCCAUUGUAAUGCCUCUGACACUCAUUCAACACCAAGACAUGAAGUAUAGCCAAAUGGGAGAAAAGAGCUACUCCAUCCGGGUCUCUUAUUGACUAAGUACACAUUGAUAACAUUGGGGUUCCAAGGGAGGUGCCAGAUGAGUCAAAGCAAGAAAUCAGAUCCUAGCAGGAUUAGAGUUAAGCAUUUCCGGGGCUCUACUCUCAUAAGAACGUGGACUGGAUUAAUUAUAUUUAUGAUAAUCAACAGCGCUUUAACAGGUAUACCAGAGAUGUUAUUAAAGGUUUUGUAGAACAGACUGAAGCAACCAGCUGGAAGGUUUGGCAGAAUAGAAUUGCAUUAGAUAUGUUAAUGGCUGAAAAGGGAGAAGUAUGCGUGAUAAUCAGGACCAUGUUUGUACUUACAUCCCAAAUAACACAGCUCCGGACGAAUCAGUGCCCGAAGCCUCAGCUGGUUUGACCACCCUGGCUCACGGGUUGGCAGAAACUCUGGGGUGGAUACUUCUCUGACUGAUUGGGUUUUGAUAAUCCGUUUGGAAAAUGGAAAAAUGUUAUGAUCACUGUGUUAUGGGCUACAUUCACCUGUGUGACUGUGUUAG
ensembl:lncRNA